GCAGGGAAUUGGUUGGAAGUGGAACAGAAAACAAAAUCUUGGAAGCAAUCUCUGAUGAGAAUCAUCCAACACUGCACACAGAGCAUGAGCAUGAACACGUUCAUUCCCACAUGGACCCUUCUGUAAUGGUGUUCUUCACCUUCAAAGAUUUGAAGGUUGGGAAAACAAUGGAAGUUUAUUUUCCCAAGAGGGACCCUGCAACCUCUCCUAAGUUGUGGCCAAGAGAAGAAGCUGACUCUCUCCCUUUCUCCUUGAACCAACUCCCAAACCUCCUCAAAGUCUUCUCUUAUUCUCCAAGCUCUCCCCAAGCCAAAGCCAUGGAAGACACCCUGAGGGAAUGUGAGAGUAAACCCAUCAAAGGAGAGGAAAAGUUCUGUGCCACCUCUUUAGAAUCCAUGCUUGACUUCACUCAAACCAUUCUUGGCUUCACACAUGAUCUCCAAGUUUUCACCACCUCUCACCAGACCAAAUCCAGUGUCACUUUCCAAAACUACACUUUGGAAAACAUAGUAGAGAUCCCAGCUUCCAAGAUGGUGGCUUGCCAUACCAUGCCUUACCCUUACACUGUUUUUUACUGCCACAGCCAAGAAAGUGAGAAUAAGAU
rnacentral:lncRNA from 1 species